UAACAGGGAUAUUUUGUGUGAUGUUAAUUUGUGAUGCAAAGGAAAAACGUGUAGAUCUGUAGAUAUGCGUUUAUAGAGGAGGAAAGAAGACGAAAAGACUUAAAAUUCAGAAUUUUGAACACAUUUGUAAGGAAAAAUCUAAGAAUUCUACAGCAAAGACCUUGAGGCUAGGAGACAUCCCAGCAAAAUGAAGUAUGACUAGUCCAAUGUGGGACACAGAGAAAUUCUAAUAUGCUACUGAAACUACUGAGGAUUAUUACUUGUUCCUUAGGAGAACUGGGGACUGAUAUUUCUGUCUUAUUUAAGAAUAUAUAAUAGUUUAGAGAGCUUAACGAAACAAGUGAAUAACUGGUUUCCUUGCUUUAUACCUAAAAACAUUUUUAUAACUCCCUAAUUCCUGUUUUUUUUUUUUUU
rnacentral:lncRNA from 1 species